UACGAAGGGGGCUAGCGUUGCUCGGAAUCACUGGGCGUAAAGCGCACGUAGGCGGCUUUCUAAGUCAGGGGUGAAAUCCUGGAGCUCAACUCCAGAACUGCCUUCGAUACUGGAUGGCUUGAGACCGGAAGAGGUAAGUGGAACUGCGAGUGUAGAGGUGAAAUUCGUAGAUAUUCGCAAGAACACCAGUGGCGAAGGCGGCUUACUGGUCCGGAUCUGACGCUGAGGCGCGAAAGCGUGGGGAGCAAACAGG
rnacentral:rRNA from 1 species